CAGUCGCCGCGGGAAUACGUAGGUCCCGAGCGUUGUCCGGAUUUAUUGGGCGUAAAGCGAGCGCAGGCGGUUAGAUAAGUCUGAAGUUAAAGGCUGUGGCUUAACCAUAGUACGCUUUGGAAACUGUUUAACUUGAGUGCAAGAGGGGAGAGUGGAAUUCCGUGUGUAGCGGUGAAAUGCGUAGAUAUAUGGAGGAACACCGGUGGCGAAAGCGGCUCUCUGGCUUGUAACUGACGCUGAGGCUCGAAAGCGUGGGGAGCAAACAGGAUUAGAUACCCGAGUAGUCCCUGUCUCUUAUACA
rnacentral:rRNA from 1 species